AACCUAGACCUGCCGCUAGACCUGUCUACAAAGGUCCUGCUGCUGCUCCCAAUCGCUUUGGUAUUUUGCCUGGUUACAGGUGGGAUGGGGUUGACCGGUCCACAGGCUACGAGAAGAUGUAUUUCGAAAAGCAAAACAGCGCUGUAGCCCUCCAGGAAGAGGCAUACAAAUGGAGCGUAUCCGACAUUUCUUACCGAAUUGCAGGCAACCCCAGCUCCAACUCCAACGCAAUAUCCGAUAACGACGACAAAAGCUAUGACCUGCACAAGCGAAGGAACAUAUUAUGCUGAUCCGGCCAACUGCACCAAAUACUACCGAUGUGUUAAUGGCAAGAUUAUCACUUACUACUGUCCAGCUAGCCUUGCCUUCAACUCUUACAUCAGCCAAUGUGAUUGGCCCUACAACGUACCUGGAUGCGCCUAAUCUUCCCGUUUAAACUUGGACUUUUUCUUCCCGCUUCCUUAUGGAAAUAAGUUGCCGUAUUUGAAGUAGAAAACCAUUACUUGCUAAAACAUGGAUAUGAAAAAACUUAGUAA